rnacentral:rRNA from 1 species
AUGAGUCGCCAUGAUGGCAUCAACAUUCCCUAAGGCAAGUUCUACCUAGGAGAUGAUGUCUAUGCAUGUCGGCUAGGUGUUCUUCCACCCUUCAGGAAAACCAGGUACCAUCUGAACGGGUUCUCUGGUAGAAACUGUCCUAGGACUCCACAGGAGCUGUUCAAUCUCAGACACUUCAGCCUUAGAGUAACGGUUGAGAGGGCAUUUAGAGCUCUGAAGAACAGGUUCAAGAUCCUGGAUCGAAAGCCAUUCCAUCCUUACCCUACCCAGGCUAAGCUUGUUCUUGCAUGUUGCAUUCUGCAUAAUUGGAUCCUGCAAUGGCGUGUUGAUGAACUUGUGCCGGAGGAGGAAGAUGUGACUCCUGAUGAGGUGUUCAGCUCCGGCCAUGGUGUGGAGGUGUUCGACAACGAAGCGUGGAAGAACAAAAGGUUGAAGUGGGCUUAG